CACGUUUCAAAUGGGAGGCUAAAAAAACAAACAAAAACAUAGACGGGGUUAAAAAUGGUGAGCUUUUCUUUUUACCAGUUUUUAUCGCUCUCUUUUUUUAAAGGUAGUGUCCAAGAACACCCCUCCACCCCUCCAGUAUUUCCCACUCCCCAAGACAUUUCUGGCAAAUGGCAAAGUCCAUGACCCCUGCUCCAUCUCACCUCCUUGGAGGUGAGCCAGAACUAGCCUCACUGCCCUCCCUCAGAAAUGCUGUGCAAGCAAGGAGGGACCAGGCUCACGGAAGAGGCCUGGGAUGUUCUGAAGUCCCAGAUCGCGCAGGGCCUGAGCAGUAGGGAGAAGUCUGAGGAGCACGCUUUGUGAAAGGAGUAACACAGAGCCAUCUUCUGGAAAACUCCCAGGACUAUGCCACAGUGGAGUCCCAUUUGGGAAUGAGGUCAAGAACUGGGUGUUGCCCAGGCUGGAGGCUAGGCUGCCUUCCCUGACUGCUCUCUCUCCCGGGGUCUACAUUGUGUCUGCACAUACCCAGGGUCCUUGGGGGGCUAUUGCUCAGGCCUCCAGAGCUAGGGAGGAGACCAAAAGUGGGAAGGUGCUUCCUUUCAGCCCUGGCUAAGAGAAUCUGCAUUCUGUGCCCUUACAGGAGGAUGUGAAGGUGUUUGGGGCACUGUGCUGUUCCAGCUCUGAGCCCCUGGGGGUGGGGGACGGGUUCACCAUCAUCUCCCAGUCCUGCCAUACCAGUCCCCCAGCUACCCCUGUGUGUCCUCCCCCACCUCCAAGACAGGUGUCCAGGGACAUUGGUGUGAUCAUCCCCAUGUGGUCCAAUUAGGCCCCUCUGAGCUCAGGACCCUGGCACCUUGUCCAUGUGGGACAGUCUCAAGACAGGUAAUGUCCUUAAACAAAAAUUAACCUUGAGACCAAGAAAGAGCCUUUUGUCAGCUGCCCUUGGCUUUCCUCUCUGAGGCUGUGGGAGUAAGGGUGUUUGAGCAAAGAAAGGAAGUGAAAGAAAACAGCCAAAAAUCAAAACGAAACUGACCAACACGUACAUGUUUGCUGCUGAGACCUGAGGUCCGGGGAGGGGCAGCCCCACUCUCCCUGCUGAGGCUUCUGGGGUAGCCUUCAGGUGUCCGGGGAACCUGCAGGCCUGCCGACCCCAAGACCCCUGUGUCCACCCAAUAACCAUAUCAGUACUGCAGCCCUCCAGGUGGGAGCUCUCCCCCAAAAGGCAAAAGAGGAUCAAUAGGCAAAAGUGGAUGCAAGACUCUCUGGGGCCUGGGAGAACCCCGACCCUGGCCCAGCCCACCCACCUGGGAGGGGCUAGAAGCCUGCCUCCUCCCUCCACAGCUCCUACCAUCACCAUGCCUCUCCAUAGGUCUUAAGGAGUCCAUGCCCCUCUUGGGGGAUGGGUGGGAACAGUUUUUGGGUGGCGCUGGUGUGGACUCUGUGAGGGAGUGAUACCCUGGGUGAUGCCUUAGGAAGGAUGGGACAUGACAGUGGAACCUGCAGGUUUGAGACAUCUGUUCAAGUGUGGGCAGUGCAGGGGAAGGGACAGACUCCUUGGAGCAGGGACUGAGAUAGGGUUUGGAGAUCUGAGAGAAGGGGAGGGGCUAGUGAGGGGGUGGAGGGAGGAAGAGCGAGCCUCAGAGAGUGGGAAAGGGCUUGGGUGGGGAGAGGGAGCUUCAGGGCCCAAGUGAUGUGGACAGGAGGCCCUUCUCUUGCAUCCUGUUCUUGACUGCGACCCCUAUGGAUAUCCAUGCCCCUCCCACCCCAAUAUACCUGCGGGGAGGGACGCAGGAGACCCUGGUUCCUCCCCAGGGCUUGUACCCAACUGGAGUGCCCCGUUGGUCAAGUUUCCUCUGGCCUGCAUUUCGCCAAGUUCAAGGGUAGCCUAAGCCUGCAGGCCCCUCGCACCCAGACCCUGGGGCCUAGUGGACCAACAACCAAGCAGUCCUGGCCACUCCCAUUCGGGGAGGGAGCAUGGAGAGGGGAAGCGGCGCCUCCCUUCCGGGGUGUACACUCACCGCUUCCUACCCUGCGGCGACCCCCGACCUAGCCCGGCGGCGCAGCCCGGCGGCGCGGGAACCCUACGCAAAGCUAAGCGGAGAAAAGUGGUGGUGACACAUGAAACAGAGACAAAGCAAGGAGGAUGGGCCACAGCUACAAGGGGAAGGAAUGCUCAGGGACACCUCAGUAGCAAAGCACCCACUUCAUCAACUCUGGAGACUGAUCUGGUUCUGUUUCGUUUUCAGCAAAAGAAUGUAACCUAAAUCUAACAGGGUUAGCUUGUUUAUUUCAAGAAUGCCAGUCAAUUCCCAAACAUCAGCCUGACCCUGGCAGCCUUGAAGCCACACAGGUUACAGUGCCAGCUGCUCCACUGUCACCCUGCAGACUCACUCAUCUGAUUCAUCUUCCAAAUGCAGCCGGGGCUGGCUGAACUGGUGAUGGCGAUCAUCCUGCAGAGGUGCAUGUCCGCAGUGUGCCAGCAGCUAUCCCUCAUGCUGACAUAUACUGUCGCAUUUAAUUUCUCAACGAUCCUAUGAGGAGGCAAAGGCUGCAAUGGGGAGAGACGGUGCUACCCAAACCAUCCUCUCCCUGGGGAGGUGGCGGUGUCUGCCAACCUAAGGCCAUGGAGGAGGCCUGGCUAGCAAGGCAAAGACUCAGACUGAAAGUCCAGGACGUGGUCAGGGGAGUGGAGCAGGGAGGGCGAUAAUGUCUGUCUCAGUGCCUGCCUCUGGCUCAGACAUGCCCCCCCAGCCAGUCUGGCUCUUUCAGAGACAAGGGAAGGACAUACCAAAUCUGUUGCUGCUGUGGGGACUUUCUGGGUGGCCCUCUGGGGCUGGCGUGGGGUGAGGAGACACUGCAUUUUAAAAGAGGCCCCUGGAGUGGAAAAUGUUUCUUUCUGCCUGUCUCUGCUCAGAAUCACUUCCUUGGUUGUUAAUUUGAUCUUCACCACAGCUCUGAGGUGGGUGGCCUUCCUAUUUCCAUUUUGCAGGUGAGGAAGCCCAACAGGGAGAGGGAGGGUUCCAAGCUCAAAGCCGUGCUCUGUCCACCUCAGGGGUGGUAGGUAGGGGGGGCAGGGGUAGGUCAGUGGGGGAAUGUCAGAGUGACUCCAGUGCAGCCUCACACCAGAGAAUUAACAGGCCAUCCAGUAGCAUUAAGGAAGGAAUUGGUUUUUAAUGGGGCCAAAGAAUAUGUGUUCCUGGGACUAGUAGGUAUAUUUAUGAAGUGUCUGAGAACCUGGUAAGUAAUGUGAAUGGACCAGCAUUUUUAGAAAUGGAUAUUAAGGACUGGGUUUGAUAAGACAGCAAGAGUCCCUGGUGUCUGUAGAGCACCUUCUGGGGACUGGCUGGGUAGGGAGAGCCCUGUGUGUGCCUUAGUCCACGGGACCCUCAUAACAACUCCCUAUGAUACAGGCCAGUCAGUGCCUGUGGCUUGCCCAAGAUCACAGGCCUGGACUGUUGAGGUCCAGAGCAGCUGUGCCCUUCACGAAUCAGGAUGCUGCCAAGGGAUGGGGCGGGCAGGGGGACGGUAACUUGAGCGCUAGCUUUGUGGGAGAUUGCAGUCUGAGGGUCACUUGGAGUUGGGCUUGGGUGGGGGAAGGGGCCCUGACCAAAGGGAUGGGGCUCUGAGAGGGGAAGGGGACAGUUUCUAAGAAUAAAGCACAGAAGUCUGGCCCGCCUGUGCCCCAGGCACCCCUCCUGUUCCCUUACCACACUCAUUGAGUACACUCCCUUGGCUCCUGGAGUCUCCAAACUCAGCAGGAUUUGCAGGUUUAAUUAAGGUCCUGGGCUCUCUCUGUAGAAGGAUACUCCACUCAUGUGCACACUCAACCCUGCCCCUGGGGAUCUCAUUUCCUCUGUCCAGAACCACAGCUCAUCAAACCUGUUUAUACUGCCAGCUGGAGGCUUCCUUUCAGUCUUCAGCAGCCUUCCACCCAUCUAUCUCUGCAGGGACCGUCCCCACUCCAACCUGGUCCCCAGCCGGAGGUGAACACCAAGUCCCUACGCUCCUUUCUUUUCCUUACGAGUGGCCCUGACUAGCAGCCCCCUGGAGACCCUGGAUUCAGGCCCAGCCAUGUCCCUGUCUUCCUGAUGGCUUUCAGCUAAUGACUGUCUCUUUCUGAGUCUCAGUGCCUCCUGGGCUCCAGACAUGGUCUUAGCUGCCUCUUAGGGAGCCCAGGAGGCCUGGAUGGGCAGAGGUGUGGUUGGUUUGGAAGAACUGCUGUACACAGACUGUCUGUGCUGAUGUAGCUCCAGGCCCAAUGCACUGGGGAUUUCUGAUUUCUUGGCUCACUGACAGUGCAAAUCUGAUGGGCAGAUAUUGUUCCCCACUUUGACUCCCUCAACAGCCAGCCCACUGGUUUCAAAGUACUCAGGGUAGAUGCAAAAGGGAGCUUUGGGACCACCAGUUUCCCUUGAUGCAGCACACAUGGGAAUGUCUUUGCUCUCUGUUGCUUUGCCUGCAGCUCUGUGUGUGAGGGCUGUCUCAUCUCCACUGACUUUCUGAGGAGGUCCCUAAGUCCUCACUGACUGAUCUAUGCACAACCCUUCCUUUUCAGCCUCAAGAACUCCUACACAUUCUUCAAGGCCCAUUCAAAUGUCUUCUCUCAGAAUUUCUCCUCUGAGCUCCUGAAGCACUUGGCCCUCUCCUGUCCUGUCCUAUAACCAUGAUUCUGAUCUGCUUUGUGGUACGGCUGGCUGUUACCACGACUGUUUCCCUUCUGAGAUGGGGAGGGAGUUGGGGGUUGGGGAGUGGUCUUUGAGGAAGGGACUAAUCCAGCUCUGGGGCCCAACAUUGCCCUGCACAGUGCCUGACACACUUGUGAGCCCCGUGACUGGUUCUGAACUGGAAACCACAGUAGCCAUCACACAUAGUAACAGCCCUUUGUGCUUUUCUGCCUGGCUGCAGCACACGCUUGGCAAGUCCAGGCAGCUCAAUCCGCCCAUUUUAUAGAAGGGGAAACUGAGGCCUUGAGUUGCCAUUGAUGUUUCCAUGCCUUUCUCCCCUGCUGGACUGGAUGUGUUUGGAAGGACUGUGUCUUCUUGGCUUCUGAGCCCAGUUCAUAGCUUGGCACAGCUUACAGGACAAAUAAGCAAAUGAAUGAAUGGAAGUUCGGCUGGGCUUGCAAUGGUUCCACGCUGAGUGGUUCAGACUCUGACCCCUUGCCUGACUCGGCUCCAGGGUCCCGUCCUGUCCGGCCCCGCCCCUUAUCCCCGU